rnacentral:rRNA from 1 species
AUUGAACGCUGGCGGCAGGCUUAACACAUGCAAGUCGAGCGGAGCGGCAGACGGGUGAGUAAUGGCUAGGAAUCUGCCUGUUCCUGGGGGAUAAGGUUCGGAAAUGGGAGCUAAUACCGCAUACUAUUAGAAGCGCCUCGGUCGGAUUAGCUAUUUGGUGGGGUAAAGGCCUUCCAUGGCGACGAUCCCUAACUGGUCUGAGAGGAUGAUCAGUCACACUGGAACUUAGACACGUUCCAGACUCCUACUGGAGGCAGCCAUGGGGAAUAGUUGACAAUGGGCGAAGGCCUGAUCCAGCCUUGCCGCGUGUGUGAAGAGAGUCUUCGGCUUGUAAAGCACUUUCAGCUGGGAGGCGUUACCAACAGAAUAAGCAACGGCUAACUUCGUGCCAGCAGCCGCGGUAAUUC